CUGUGAGCUCCUGCGCAAGCUCAUCGUUGGGGGUAAACAUCCCUCCGAUGUCGUUACCAAGAGCAAUGAUGCAGGCCCCGGUUAGGGUUGCGAGAUCCACGAUUUUGUCCACCUUGAGGUUGUUCGCGUACACGAGGGCGUCUGCCAAGGUAAGUCGGCCUUCGGCGUCAGUGUUGUUCACUUCAAUAGUCUUUCCAUUGGAGGCUGUCAAAAUGUCGCCGGGUCUCAUGCCUCCCCCACUGAUCAUGUUCUCACAGGCUGCGACGACGAAGUUGACUUCGACACCCUCAGGCUUUAUGGCGGCUAUGGCUUUCGCUGCUCCAAGCACAGCUGCCGCACCUCCCAUAUCGAAUUUCAUAAGCUCGAUCAUACAGCCAGGGCCAGUCUUCAAGUUGUAGCCUCCACUGUCGAAUGUCAAACCCUUACCCACAAUCGCCAAUUUCGUGGUCACGGCUCCCAAAGGCGAAUAACACAAGUGGAUGAAUUUCGGAGGAUUGGUGGAUGCAGCGGAUACACCAAGGUAAGCACCCAUCCCAAGUUUUUCGCACUCCUCCUUCUCGAGGAUUUUACAUGUCAUGACAUCGCCAUGUGCGGCAGCGAUGGCCUCGGCCUCGCACGCCAUGACGCUAGGAAGAAGAACAUUAGGCGGAGCAUUCACCAGUUGCUUUGCGAGGAUGACGCCUGUACAUUGCUGAAUGGUUUGGGCUAGCUGCGCUUCGAGGUCGGCAUCCGACCCUAAGCCGAACAGCUCCAAGUCCUUCAACUGCGGCUUCUUGAAGUCGGACUUAAAUCUCAUGUCCUCGAAAGAUCCCAACAUCACGCCAGUGGCGAUCAUCGACGCAGCGGUCUUCUUCACCG
rnacentral:lncRNA from 1 species